rnacentral:lncRNA from 1 species
AGAGGCCUCGGUGUUAUUGGUGUUAUUCUAGUCAUUCAGCAGAGUAUGGAUGACGACCACGGACUAUUCUAGACUGUCCUGUGGAACACUAGCAGGCUCAUUACCUGUAGGUGUUGUGAACGACGUGUUCACCGGUGUACUCUAUCCCCCACAUGGUUGCCUUUAGGACACUUAUUGUUGAGGAAGCCCCUCUGCAGUAAUGUCCGUCCCGAUGAAAAUCCUGAAAUAAGUUCCUUAUAAUAGACGUUAUUUUUAGGAACGUAAGGUGAGGAUAACGGGAAUGGGUAAUCGGGUUUAUUGUUGAUUGUUGUAAUUAAAUAUAAUUAUUGUGGGUUUGAAAACCCUAUAUGCUCACCAGGCUCCCAAGCCUGACCCACUCAGUUGAUUUGUAUUACAGGAAGUGGCGCAAGAGCUUAAGAUGGGCGAAUCAUCAAGUUGUUUUUGUUUACAAGUCUGUAUAUGUAUAUAUUUGUUGAACGACUUGUAAUGUUAUCGUUUAUGCUUUAUGAUCUGUAUCGGAACAUGACAUCCCGACUUUUGAUUAUGAAAUGAAAUCAUAUUUCUAUAUGAAAUGUUUUGAUAAAUAUCUAUUUUAUCAUGUUUUGUUUUUGGGAACAAAUUCCGCAUCUCUUUUAAAAUCAAACGGAUUUACUCUGAAAAUGUUUUAAAAAGCAUAAAUGAAAUCGGUCUUUUCUGGCCGAGAUUUUGGGGAUGUCACAGUUGGUAUCAGAGCAUUAGUUUAAGCGAACUAGGAAUUUGUAGGAUUUCUAGACUUAAACUUAGUAUGCUAAGUGGAGAUUGUGAGAUGUGUGUCUGAUAAAUUUUAGACACGAGCACUAGUUUAUUUUAGGAAAGUUGCCUAAAAUGCUUUUAUGUGCUAAAUGUUAUAUGUUGCCAUAUAUGAUAUUGUUUGUUCGGAUCUACGGUUUGUUGCCAACCGGAUCUGAAGGUUUAUGUGUUUAGGAUUCUAAGCGUAUGUAUACGAUAUUAGAACUAGCAUGUAAUCGUUUGGAGUAAUAAGGUGAAAUUAUUCGGUGUGUAGAUCAAAAAUGGUGAGAACAAGAAGCGGAGUUGGAAAUGCUGAUGAAAACAGGAAUCAACCGCCUGUAAUUCAACAAGUACCUGUCGUAGCUGAUGCACCUGAGCCGAUAACAAUGGCUGGUGUACAAAUGAUGAUUCAAAUGAUGUUGGAUCGUCAGAUGGAAGAAACAAGACGCCUGCUUAGGCAGAAUCGUGAAGAACCGUCAAUUCAAGCGGAAGAGCCCGAGGAGAAUGGAGGGCAGUCUGAAGGAGAAAACUUUAGUGGGAUCAUUGGUCAAGACGAACAACCAGUGGUUAGACGCAAUAACCAGUAUGGAGGAAAUGAUGGUCGUGGGUGCAAGUAUAAGGAUUUCAUGGCAUCCAAACCACCAUGUCUAUCCGGAAGCCCGACGCCGGUGCAAGUUAUGGACUGGGUCUCCGAAAUGGAGACUAUGUUUGAAAGUUGCGAAUGCAGCAACAGGCAGAAGACCGCUCUUGCGAUCCCUCUGCUAAAAUCUGGCGUGUUGAGUUGGUGGAAGCUGUUAGCUGACUCUAUGCCCAAGGGAGAAGCAAGCAAAAUGUCUUGGGAAGACUUUGUGGAACAACUAAAAAUGCAAUACUGCUCCGAGCAGGACCUUCUGGAAAUCAGUAAUGAGUUUCAGAAUUUGAAGAAAGGGAAAUUGAGCGUUACUGAAUACGCUGCAAGUUUCACAGAAAAGAUGAAGUUUAUCCCAUAUUUGGUGCCUACAGAACUCUCUAAGGUCAACAAGUUUGCCCUUGGACUACCAGCGGACUAUGGUCCAAUGGUUAAGCAAGCAACCACAUUGAAAGCCGCCAUCUGGGCUGCUAGAAAUGUUGAGACCCAGAUCAGGGAAAAAGGUCUGGAAAGGUCAGAGGUUGGCGAGAAAAGGAAAAUCGAUGGAUUUUCAGGGUCCAGCAAGAAAAGUAAAUUCUCGAAGUCUAGUUCGAGGGGAAGUGGAGGAAAGGUAGAAGCGAAAUGGUGUGACAAGUGCAAGAAGAAGCAUUAUGGGAAGUGUGGCGGGGAAACCACAUGCUUCAAAUGUGGAAAGCCAGGGCAAUAUGCCAAUGACUGCACUUUCACCAAGAAUGUUUGUUACAGUUGUGGUGAGGAAGGGCACAUCUCAAGGGAUUGUCCGAAAAAGAAGGAAGCAGCAAGACCCAACAUUCCGCCAAAGCCAAAGGCGAGAGCAUUCCAGAUGACACUGGAAGCUGCUAAAGAUGAAGCUGAUGUCGCUUCAGGUACCUUUCUCGUUAACAAAUUGCCUGCCCAAAUUUUAUUUGAUUCUGGAGCCAACUACUCCUUUAUAUCGCAUGAAUUUGGUAGAAAACUAGCUUUGCCUGUUGAUAGACUAGAUAAUGCUUUAUUAGUCGAAGUUGCUAGUGGCAAGUUUGUACCUGUUAGCCAUCGUAUGAAAAACAUCUUAAUUGAUCUGAAUGGGAAUAAGUUCCACGAGGAAUUAUUGCCUAUCGAACUUAACGGUUUCGACAUCGUUUUGGGAAUGGAUUGGCUUAGCGCCAAUGAUGCCGAAAUUUUAUGCAAGAAGAAAAUAGUGAAAGUGAACCCGCCUGGGAAGGAAUCGUUUAUGGUGUACGGAGAUAAACGCAGAGUAAAUUCUGGAAUCAUUUCUCUAAUGAAAGCCAGAAAAUGUUUGACCAAGGGGUGUACAUCAUACUUAGCAUUCGUGAUCGAUGCUAAGAAGGAAAAGAAGGUGAUGCAAAAUAUUCCUGUUGUGUGUGAUUAUCCGGAAGUAUUUCCCGAAGAUCUUCCUGGAUUACCGCCCGAUCGACAAGUAGAAUUUCGUAUCGACUUGUUGCCCGGAACAACGCCAAUUGCAAAAGCACCUUAUCGAUUAGCACCGACGGAGAUGAAGGAGCUAAUGAUGCAACUUCAGGAGUUAUUGGACAAAGGUUUCAUUAGACCUAGUUCAUCACCCUGGGGAGCUCCGGUGUUAUUCGUAAAGAAGAAAGAUGGAAGCAUGAGGAUGUGCAUUGAUUACCGAGAGCUGAAUAAGGCAACAAUAAAGAAUAGAUAUCCGUUGCCGAGGAUUGAUGACCUAUUCGAUCAACUACAAGGUUCAAGUUAUUUUUCAAAGAUCGACCUGAGGUCAGGAUAUCAUCAGCUGAAAGUAAGGGAGCAGGAUAUAGAGAAGACUGCAUUCAGAACGCGAUAUGGACACUAUGAGUUCUUGGUUAUGUCGUUUGGACUAACCAAUGCUCCAGCAGCAUUCAUGGAUUUAAUGAACAGAGUUUGUAAUCCGUUCCUUGAUAAAUCUGUGAUAGUGUUCAUAGAUGACAUUCUGAUUUAUUCAAAAAGCCAAGAGGAGCAUGGCAGACACUUGCGAGAAGUGUUAGAAGUCUUGAAGAAGGAGAAGUUGUAUGCGAAGUUCUCCAAAUGUGAUUUCUGGAUUCGUGAAGUCCAAUUCUUGGGUCACGUGGUCAACCAAGAAGGGAUAAUGGUUGAUCCAGCGAAGAUCGAAGCUGUGAUGAAGUGGGAACAACCGAAAAGUCCCACGGAGAUCCGAAGCUUUUUAGGAUUAGCCGGAUAUUACCGAAGGUUUAUCCAAGGCUUUUCUUCGAUCGCUAGUCCAUUAACAGCUUUGACCCACAAAGGAGCUACUUAUGCUUGGAGUGAUAAGCAUAAAGAAGCAUUCGAGAAGCUAAAGAAGAAACUAUGCGAGGCACCGAUACUUUCUCUACCCGAUGGAGUUGAAGACUUCGCUGUUUAUAGCGAUGCGUCUGGGGUUGGAUUGGGUUGUGUUUUGACCCAAAGAGAUAAGGUGAUCGCAUAUGCGUCUCGACAGCUGAAAGAGCACGAAAAGAACUACCCGACUCAUGAUUUGGAGUUGGCAGCGGUAGUUUUCGCACUGAAAAUAUGGAGGCAUUACCUCUAUGGCACGAAGUGCAAACUUUUCACUGAUCAUAAGAGUCUCCAAUAUCUCUUUAGUCAGAAAGAAUUGAAUAUGAGGCAACGACGCUGGCUGGAAUUACUUAAGGACUACGACUGUGAGAUACUUUACCACCCCGGUAAGGCCAAUAUUGUUGCUGAUGCUCUCAGUCGGAAGGUCAAUCUUGAAAAGAAAAGGCCAAGAGCGUUGAGAAUUGAAGUUGUCUCGACUAUUUUGGAAAGUAUAAAGAAAGCUCAAAGCGAAGCUUCUGAGAAAAAUGACCGAAAGGAGGAACGUUUGGGCAAAACGUUGGUGUUCGGUGUAAACAGUCACGGACUGAAGGUGUUCCAAGAUCGGAUUUGGAUACCUAAGACAGGAGGAGUCAGAGAUCUUCUGAUGGAAGAAGCUCACAAAACCAUGUACUCGAUUCAUCCCGGUAGCACAAAAAUGUAUAGGGACCUGAAACCCUAUUAUUGGUGGCCGACGAUGAAGCUCGACAUUGCGAAGUAUGUGGCCGAGUGUGUGACCUGUGCAAGAGUCAAGGCACAACAUCAGAAACCAUACGGGAGUUUAGAACCAUUACCUGUGCCUAUGGGUAAGUGGGAAGACAUUGCUAUGGAUUUUGUCACUAAACUACCCAGAACAAAAAGUGGUCACGACAUGAUUUGGGUGGUCGUUGAUCGAUUCACUAAGAGUGCGCAUUUCAUAGCAGCCAACGAGAAAUGGUCUAUGGAAAAGCUUGCGAAUUCUUACGUGAAGGAAAUUGUGAGGCUUCACGGUGUUCCGUUAACGAUUGUGUCGGAUCGUGAUAGUCGUUUCACCUCACGAUUUUGGAAAAGUCUACAAGAGGAAUUGGGUACCAAGUUGUGUUUAAGUACAGCUUACCAUCCGCAGACUGAUGGUCAGAGCGAAAGAACGAUACAAACACUUGAAGAUAUGCUGAGAGCGUGUACCUUGGAAUUCCUAGGUAAUUGGGAUGAACAUUUACCUUUGGUAGAAUUUUCCUAUAAUAAUAGUUUUCACUCGAGCAUAAAGAUGGCACCUUAUCAAGCAUUGUAUGGACAGAAGUGUCGUACGCCGUCUUGUUGGCUUGAGGCUGGGGAAAAGCAGUUUAUGGGACCGGAGAUAGUCCAUCAAACGGCUGAAAAGUUGAAAAUAAUUAGGGAAAGAAUGUUAGCAGCUCAGGACCGUCAAAAGAGCUAUGCUGACAAAAAGCGAAGACCGAUGACUUUUGAAGUUGGAGAUUCGGUUUUGCUUAAAGUCUCGCCGUGGAAGGGACUUAUAAGAUUUGGUAAAAGGGGAAAGUUAAGUCCAAGGUUUAUUGGACCGUUUAAAGUUCUUCAGAGGAUUGGGAACCAAGCUUACAAGCUCGAACUACCAGAAGAACUGAAUGGAAUUCAUAACACUUUUCAUGUGUGUUAUUUGAGGAAGUUCACGGGAGAAGUUCCCGACAUAAUUCCAAUUUCUGAAUUGAGAAUUGAUGAGAACAAAAGGUUGAUUGAAGAACCAGAGGCAAUUGUUGACCGAAAGACUAAGAAAUUGCGACGCAAAAUGGUUGGGUUAGUGCUUGUCCGAUGGAAACACACGAAUGGGCCGAAUCUCACCUGGGAGACGGAGAGUGACAUGUUGAGUCGCUAUCCGCAUUUGUUUGCUGAUGUGUGAUUCCGGGGACGGAAUCAUUCUAAGGUGGAGAGAAUUGUAACGCCCGUGUUUCUGGGCUUGCCAUUUUUAGCAAUGUAAUAGUCUAGGUUAACCUUUGUAACCCCAAUUUGAAAUAAUAAAAAUGUAUUAUUUGUGAAUUAUGUGAAUUAUGUGAUUUAUGUGUUUAUUUUCUUAAUUAUUAUAAUUUAAUGAAUUAAGAAUAAAAUAAGCGUCAAAAUUAAAGUGUGAGAUAAGCCCGAUAUCUUUGCAUAAAGUUGUAGUGGUUGAAACAAGGAUUCCGGAGAUAUAAGGAAUGCCAAAAUCCGAGUUAUAACGAAGAAGUUAUGACCUGUCGAAGUUUCGCGACAGAACCGGCACGACGUCGAGUGACGUAAAAUAUGAAUUUAAGAUAGAGCGAUAUUUAGCCUUAGCGAUCUAAACGAAAGUCGUAGAUUUCGUUAAACCGAGAGCGUGCAUAAAAGGAACGCCCAAAUCUGACUUCGUAUGAGGAAGUUAUGAUUUUUCUAAGUUUCGACUUAGCAGUAUGCAGCCCGAAUACUCGAUUUGAGAUCGAGCAGCUUUUAGCCGAAACAAUCUAAAUGAGAAUCGAAGAUCUCGUUGUUAGUAGCGAAACGAUGAAAAGUUAGGCGAGAACGGACGUCAGACGAAGAAGUUAUGAAUUUAUAACGAAGUUUUUCUGUCCCGGCCUUCUAAAAAUAAAUAAUAAAAAUAAAAGUCAAAAUUAGCCGACGGAGUCUAAAUGAAAGUUGUAGAGUAUGGUCUGACCUUCGCGUGGAUAUAAAGAACGUCGAAAACGGAGCUCGUAUGCGAAAGUUACGCAAUUUAGAAGUUCGACGAGUCAAUUACGCCCCGCGUAAUUGAGUACGCCCCGCGUACUCAGUCGGAUGCAACUUGUCUGACCAAUACUCGAGUGCCACAGAUCGACGCAUGCAGUGACGUCAAAGUACGCCCCGCGUAACCGAGUACGCCCCGCGUACUGAGUACGCCCUGCGUAAUUUGAGAUUACGCCCCGCGUAAUCCCAGACCCUCAGCCUAUAAAUAGAACUCGAAAUCAGCCAUUUUCUCUUGUUCAAACUCUUCCCUCUCUCUAAGUUUUGCCUCGAUUUGCGUGCCAAUCAUAUCCCGAAGCCCCGGUAUCAUUCCCGAGCCCCGAAGCGAGAUCCGAAGCCCCGAGAAUCCCGAAGAGCGUUAUUCCCGAGCCGAAGCCCUGCCCGCGAGGAGCCGGUUUUUGUGAAGAUCUUCCAGAUCUGCGGAGAGACGCUACUUCUAUAAGCCGUAGUGCUGUCGGAUCAUCUUCUGAUCAAGUGAGUGUAUAGUCCCUUUUCAAUACGCAAUAUUAUGAAGUAUUUAAUAUAAAAUACGUGCUACGUGUAUAUAUUUUGUGGUUAUAUGUGUGAAUGUAUAUUCACUCUCUUCUAUCUCAUAGAUCUGAUAUAUUCUCUAUGAAAUACGUGUUAUGUGUGUAUGCCUCAUCUGUUAUGUGGAAUAUGUAUUGAUUAAAGCAUGCUAUACAGGUUUUUAAACAAUGUAUAAAAAUGUAUAUUUUUAUCUACUAAUAUGUUGGGUAGAACAUGGGUAGAUAAUUGGUGUGAAAUAAACAGAUGAGAGGCCUCAAUGUUAUUGGUAUUAUUCUAGUCAUUCAGCAGAGUACAAAUGACGACCACAGACUAUUCUAGACUGUCUAGUGGAACACUAGCAGGCUCAUUACCUGUAGGUGUUGUGAACGACGUGUUCACCGGUGUACUCUAUCCCCCCCAUGGUUGCCUUUAGGACACUUAUUGUUGAGGAAGCCCCUCUGCAGUAAUGUCCGUCCCGAUGAAAAUCCUGAAAUAAGUUCCUUAUAAUAGACGUUAUUUUUAGGAACGUAAGGUGAGGAUAACGGGAAUGGGUAAUCGGGUUUAUUGUUGAUUGUUGUAAUUAAAUAUAAUUAUUGUGGGUUUGAAAACCCUAUAUGCUCACCAGGCUCCCAAGCCUGACCCACUCAGUUUAAUUGUAUUACAGGAAGUGGCGCAAGAGCUUAAGAUGGCGAAUCAUCAAAUCGUUUUUGUUUACAAGUCUGCAUAUGUAUAUAUUUGUUGAAUGACUUGUAAUGUAAUCGUUUAUGCUUUAUGAUCUAUAUCGGAACAUGACAUCCCGACUUUUGAUUAUGAAAUGAAAUCAUAUUUCUAUAUGAAAUGUUUUGAUAAAUAUCUAUUUUAUCAUGUUUUGUUUUUGGGAACAAAUUCCGCAUCUCUUUUAAAAUCAAACGGAUUUACUCUGAAAAUGUUUUAAAAAGCAUAAAUGAAAUCGGUCUUUUCUGGCCGAGAUUUUGGGGAUGUCAC